GUUUUUUUCUCCAGAACAUAUAUGCUGUACCUAUUUACUUGAAUUGUAUAGAUAUAUUUACGUCAUCAAAAUAUGUCACAUGACUUACAAGGUUUAGAUUGUUGUGCAACAUUGUCACAUUCUGAUAUUUAUUCAGUGGUUUUAUGGCAGUCAAUGCUAUGUGUAUUUUUUUUAUCUUUAAAUAUUCUCCUUUAUAGGUGCCCAACUCUUCAUGCAAAGCUUCUACGUCUGGUGAUGCUAAAGGUUCCAGUGAUGCCGAAUAUGUGGAGAUAGCACAUGCUACAGGGUAAAAAUUCUGAAACAUCAGUGGGCUACUGCUCUUCAGGCCCAAACACCCACUUCAAUGGUGCGUG
ensembl:lncRNA